UCGCCGGAACUGCCUGCUGGAAUCCUCUGCCACAAGUGUGAAAGAAACCUAAGUAUGGGGUUAUUCACACAGCGUUUAGUUUUUUUUACAUGUCCUAUUUUGUCGGUUUUCAUGGACCAACAGCCGCCAUACAAUUGAAGGGGACAGUUUUUAACAUCCAUUUCUCAGUGAAAUAAAAUGGCCAUUACAAACAUGUGAAUGUAGCCUAAAAGGGAUUUCACGUUAUAGUAUAACAGGUCAUUUGUGUAGGAUUUUCAUUGACACUUAGCGCGACCUAGCCAAGUCAGACUUAAUUAGACGAUUCCAGACAGCGGCUGCUGAAGACAUAACAAGUUGCACAGGCUUCAGAUUUACAGUACUCUGCAGCACUUUCUUUAUAGGAUAGUAACAGUUUAACACUGUGUUGUAGUGAAAAUUUGUAACAUUAGCUAAAACUGGCCACACUUUUUUGAGCGAAGCUCCACAAAAUUAUUUUGCUUUUGUGUAAUUUUGAACUUUAUGGUAUCCGUUACAGGCGCCUGAUACCCUUCUUCUUCCUCUUGACCUUCUGUUGCAUAGGUUUGGUUCUCCACGUCUAAUUUUGGUAAAAUCAAACAUGUUGACUCCCUGAGAGAAGAACAUCACCUCGUAGACCUGUGAGCUAAGGUGCGGUGCAUAGAUUUCAUAAAAACGUCUGACCCUCACAGACGUCAAUGUCCAUAUUGUCCCGGCAGAUCCUAUCAGUGGGUCAUCCUUUAUCAGUGGUCACUCAUAUUACAAAAUCCUCUUGUUUUGUCGCUGGGCGAUAAAUAACAUUGGGGUGCUCAGUA